AUCUGACAUCUUUGUCAUAAGAAUCAUGCUCUUGCUGUCUCUCUCUCCCCCCGUCUCUGAUGCGACAAUUGCGACAGCCAGCCCCUGUCCCUUCACCCUAGCCACCCACACAAAGCUUCCGUCGCUGGAAAAUCCAACCAGACAUCGCGAGCCAGCGCCGUAGUCUUUGCAUAGACUCAGAAGGAAGUUGGAGCAGGCAGACAGAGAGCCGGCCGACUUCCUCUCCCCUACGAUUCCCCAGGCGGUUCACCGUCUGUGUAAACACGCUUUACUCUCCUCCUUUCUCUCUCUCUCUCUUUCUCUCUCUCUCUCUCUCUCUCUCUAUCUCUCUCUAUCUACCCGCCGAUGGCCACAAGUAGCUUUCGAUUAUAACACACAUGGCAAUAUUGUAACUCUCCAACUACUCUACAUUUCAAGUGACGUCAUGGCUAAUUCUAAAGCGUAUGAGUGUGCGAGAGAGAAAGUUACUGAGGCAAAAUGGGAUAGUCUGUAGUGAAUAGAUUGUUGAGUUAGGCCUUACUCUUUACUAUUGACACUGAUUUAAAAGUAACACCUUAACACAAUGUCCGCUGCUCCAUGUUGUGUGCGUAAUGGUGCAUAAUUGUCAGGGCAGAUACAUUGAUUUUGGAACUAGCUUAGACCAGAGUGGGUGCAUUGGGCAAAUGUCUAGUCAUCCUCUGUGACAAACAUCGUGACAGCAAGCCUAUUGAAAACCAUAGCCAACAUUUGAAGAAAUCAUGGUUAAUGGGGUUUGGAGUCAAAGCCUGAUAACAUAUUCCCUGUAAGCCUGUUUUUUUCCCCCACAAACAGAAACCUAUGUGCAGAAAAGGAAUACCGGAAGAUAACCCUCAACUAUGAUAUGUUUAUUUAGCAAGAUCUUGACUGACAAAAUAAAUAGGUGGAUAUUAGAGACACCUACAAAACGAGAAAAAUGCCUGCAAUGCCCACAAUUUCAACUGACCUGUUGAUAAAAUGACCAUGGUGUUUUUUGUUAUUACAUGUAAGCUUCAGCCAUUGGCAGUAGGCUACCACGGAUCUAUGGAAAAUAUACAGCACGCCAAACGUUUCUUUGAAUCCAGUCAAUUCCACCGCACCAUGGAGAAAGGUAAACAAUGAGGCGUGAUUUGCUGUUGCCUUUUGCCCCAUGAACCUUAACCUGGUACCUUGGAUAGCGACGCUAGGGAAUCAUUUUACUACAGUAACGGAAUCCUAAGUGACGCGCCUCGCUAUGUUGUUCACAUUCGGGACGAAUGGCUGGCGAGUCCCCCUUCACCAUCCAAUGGCUGGGGUAUGAGGCGCUCAAACGCUACACCAAGAACAUGCCGGGCAACCGGGGCAUGAAGGCGGUGAAAGACAUUCGCUUCCUUGCGAGGAGGUGCAAGGCCAGGGGCUGUUGGACGGUGAUGACACCACCCAUCAAAUAUGUCCUCGAAGACAAGGACUUUAUCAAAAUUGAGUUUGGCAUAUUAACUCGGACUGUCAUUCCUGUCCACAAGCUCAAGGAGCUAUAGGAGAAUCUGGUGCGAUCACACUCUGCAGAACAUCAGUGAUUUUAAACUUUCCCAUUCCACUCUGGUGUUUAUGUGUGGGCAACCCAGAGAGGACCAUGAUGUUGUUGGCUCUGAGGAUUAAUGUCCUUGCUAAAGGAUACAGUGGAAUCUCCCUGGAAACCCUGCAUAGAAUGAUCCAGGCCUUCAAUGUGUCCUGCCUGUCCUUCGUCCCUGAGAAGGGGAAAGUUGGUGCCAGUGGAGAUCUGCCCCCCCUCUCUCAUUUGACUCUGGGAGAAGGCAAGAUGUGGUCACCCAAGAGUAGAUGAGCCAACGCCAAAUACAUAUCCACGCCCUGUGGCCCCAUCCAGGACAGAUAGAAGUGGCCAGGAGGUUCCGCACCCUACUGGACUCAGACCACCACCCCUCAGAGAUCGCAGAUGAGUGAAUGGAUUAGAGAGCCAUCGGUUCUGGUGUCCAGGAUGCCUACACUAUACUCCUCAGUGAAGGGACAGACUGACCCUCCCUCCAUCCCUAUUUGUGAGCUGUAUCCCAGUGGAGACUUCCCAAAAGGAGAGGAGUUUGAAUAUCCCCCAUCUAAAGACGGUUCUUGCUAUGGAACUGCUAGCUGCCUGCCAGGGCAUCGAGUUCUUCCACCCCCUGCUUACCACAACACCAUUGGAGAAGGUCUAUGACCUUGUACCGCAGUGUAACCAAAGCCCUGGAUCAAGUAUAGGUUCAUGUCACCAGACAUUGAUGCUGUCCAUCAUCUUCUUCUAGACCAGAAGGCAAG